rnacentral:rRNA from 1 species
GUGGGGAAUAUUGGACAAUGGGCGAAAGCCUGAUCCAGCCAUGCCGCGUGUGUGAAGAAGGUCUUCGGAUUGUAAAGCACUUUAAGUUGGGAGGAAGGGCAGUAAGUUAAUACCUUGCUGUUUUGACGUUACCGACAGAAUAAGCACCGGCUAACUUCGUGCCAGCAGCCGCGGUAAUACGAAGGGUGCAAGCGUUAAUCGGAAUUACUGGGCGUAAAGCGCGCGUAGGUGGUUUUGUAAGUUGGAGGUGAAAUCCCCGGGCUCAACCUGGGAACUGCCUCCAAAAAUGCAUGACUAGAGUACGGUAGAGGGUAGUGGAAUUUCCUGUGUAGCGGUGAAAUGCGUAGAUAUAGGAAGGAACACCAGUGGCGAAGGCGACUACCUGGACUGAUACUGACACUGAGGUGCGAAAGCGUGGGGAGCAAACAGGAUUAGAUACCCGAGUAGUCC